rnacentral:rRNA from 1 species
UACAGAGGGUGCAAGCGUUAAUCGGAAUUACUGGGCGUAAAGCGUGCGCAGGCGGUUCGUUAAGACAGAUGUGAAAUCCCCGGGCUUAACCUGGGAACUGCAUUUGUGACUGGCGAGCUAGAGUAUGGCAGAGGGGGGUAGAAUUCCACGUGUAGCAGUGAAAUGCGUAGAGAUGUGGAGGAACACCGAUGGCGAAGGCAGCCCCCUGGGUCAAGAUUGACGCUCAUGCACGAAAGCGUGGGGAGCAAACAGG